UGUGACCACCGUGCUUCUACACCUGCAUUGCUUGCUGUUUUGGGGGGUUUUGGCUGGGUUUCUGUACAGCACUUUGUGACAUCAGCUGAUUUGAUUGAUUGAAGAGAAGAUGGAAGAGAGGUGGAAGAUGGGAGGAAGAGAGGUGGAAGAUGGGAGGAAGAGAGGUGGAAGAUGGGAGGAUGAGAGGUGGAAGAUGGGAGGAAGAGAGAUGGAAGAUGGGAGGAAGAUGGAAGGAAGAGAGGUGGAAGAUGGGAGGAAGAGAGGUGGAAGAUGGGAGGAAGAGAGGUGGAAGAUGGGAGGAAGAGAGGUGGAAGAU